rnacentral:rRNA from 1 species
UAACAGUUAGAAAUGACUGCUAAAACCGCAUAAGCGCACAUUGUCGAGUGACAGAGUGUGAAAAACUCCGGUGGUAUGAGAUGGACCCGCGUCUGAUUAGCUAGUUGGUGAGGUAACGGCCCACCAAGGCGACGAUCAGUAGCCGGCCUGAGAGGGCGACCGGCCACAUUGGGACUGAGACACGGCCCAAACUCCUACGGGAGGCAGCAGUGGGGAAUAUUGCACAAUGGGGGAAACCCUGAUGCAGCGACGCCGCGUGAGUGAAGAAGUAUUUCGGUAUGUAAAGCUCUAUCAGCAGGGAAGAAGAAAGACGGUACCUGACUAAGAAGCCCCGGCUAACUACGUGCCAGCAGCCGCGGUAAUACGUAGGGGGCAAGCGUUAUCCGGAUUUACUGGGUGUAAAGGGAGCGUAGACGGCUGUGCAAGUCUGAAGUGAAAGCCCAGGGCUCAACCCUGGGACUGCUUUGGAAACUGUGGAGCUAGAGUGCUGGAGAGGUAAGUGGAAUUCCUAGUGUAGCGGUGAAAUGCGUAGAUAUUAGGAGGAACACCAGUGGCGAAGGCGGCUUACUGGACAGUAACUGACGUUGAGGCUCGAAAGCGUGGGGAGCAAACAGGAUUAGAUACCCUGGUAGUCCACGCGGUAAACGAUGAAUACUAGGUGU